rnacentral:piRNA from 1 species
UNGAUGAGAUGCAUCCAGCCUUUCCCUAUU